rnacentral:rRNA from 1 species
AUGCUGCCCGGGGAGGCUGAGGUAGACGAGAUGGCCAAUCCAGUAUUGCCAAGCAUGCCAAUUCGUAUGUCCAUGGGGUCUUUUGGACAGUUUUAUCUAAAUGGUGGCCUAGCUAAUGUGCCACGGCCUGAUGAAAACAUGGGGUUUGUGCACCUGGGGAAGAGAAAAGAAAGAGACUUUAACGAGGGGGGUGAGAUAAUUAUUUACGAGGGGAAACGCGCCCCUCCUAUAGAAUUGAAUUUGUUGUCAAGUUUUGGAGCUGACAACUCUAGCAGCAGCUCCGUGCCAUGCAUGCAUGACGGGAGAUCUCCAUUCAGCAUACCUGGCUUCACUUACGAGUUUAUUUCACCAGCAGUCGCCAACAAAGGAUGGGAAAACAUGACUCAGUGCUCACGUGAUGUUUUAGACAGGUAG